rnacentral:rRNA from 1 species
GACGAACGCUGGCGGCGUGCCUAAUACAUGCAAGUCGAACGCAGUGGGGACGGGUGAGUAACACGUGGGUAACCUCCCAUCAGAGGGGAUAACACUUGGAAAAAGGUGCUAAACCGAUACUGAUGGAUGGACCCGCGGUGCAUUAGCUAGUUGGGGAGGUAAAGGCCCACCAAGGCCACGAUGCAUAGCCUACGUGAGAGGGUGUUCGGCGACAUGUGCACGUAGACGCGGCCGAGACUCCUACGGGAGGCAGCAGUAGGAAAUCUUCGGCAUUGGACGAAAGUCUGGCCGGGCUACGCCGCGUGAGUGAAGAAGGUUUUCGGAUCGUAAAACUCUUUUGUUAGAUAAGCGGUAUCUAGCCAGAAAGCCACGGCUAACUACGUGCCAGCAGCCGCGGUAAUUC